AGUUGCCGAGCCGCGAGAAGCUAUUCUUAGCCGCGCGACGGCGGAACGAGCGCGAAUCGGAACGUACGAAAUACCGAAGAAUCGCGCCGAAACGAUUAUAAUUAACGAUCAGCCGGUUCUCCAGCGACGCAGACACGCUCGAUACCAGGUAUAAAUCAACAAUGCGGCCAGAUCGCUGACGAAGAUAAAGCCGAGUGUCGCGAACGAUCGUUUCCCUUUUCUGUAUCGCGAGUCGAUAAAGCUCGUUCGCGACAUACCAAUAGCGACGCGCAGACCACUCGUGCAGAUACGUGACCAACGAUACAAACGAUGCAGUACCAGUUUCACGCUAAACAUCGACGUUCGUCUAUCGAUGAACAUCGUUCCGAUUAUUUUUACUUAUUCGCUGCUGUAACAUAUUUUUCAUGCGCAAUCCGUAUCGAUGAUCCUAGUUAAAGAAUCGCGGAUAAAUUUUCUUCGGGAUACGGAAUUUGCGUUUGGAACGAAAAUCACGUCAUCGGCAUAGCGCGAUGUUACACGACGAGAGGUUAAUCGUCUCGCUUUUAACUCUGAACUUGUGCAUCCUGGCAGCCUCCGCUUUCUUUGUUAACAGCGUAAUGCACGGAAAGAACUAUCCUUGCAGCGGCCUUUCGUGGAACGGAACGUGUCCACGAACGAUCUGCCGCACCUGCUUCGAUACCUCCUUGAUUCACCGCAACAUACUAGACACACCCGUUUCGUUGUCCUCGCAGCAAUCAAACUCGCUCUUUGAGGAAGUUCUUCGAUGCUUCCCCUUUUCUUUUUCCUUCUAUCUUUUUUCCUUUUCACUCUUUUCGAAGCCGUUUGGCCCAUAUGCCAGCUAACCGACACUCUGUGUAGACGCACGAUAAUCAGCCGUGUGUGUGUGUGUGAGUGUGUGUGUGUGUACACGGCUGACUAUCGCGUUCAUAGUAGUAGCGUCGCGUGUCUGCGUCCGCUGCUGCAACUCGUGCGUGCUCGACUAUGUGACGGUGUGUGUGCGUGCGUGCACGCGCAAACGCGAGCGUCGAUCGCAUAAGUAGUCGUCAAGGUUAGCCACCUACUCGCUAUCGCGGGAUUCGUGCACACUCUCCGCGGAUGCAUUUGAGUCGUCUUGCCAGCUUUAAAGUUUAUUACGUGCUCGCCACGGAGCAUCGAGGAAACGAAUCUCAGCGCGCGCGCUGCCUCAGCCUUGUCCCGUUGCGUUCUGCGACUUCGCAGUUUUAUGGCGCGUUUCGUGCGUCCAUCGCUGUUGUGCAACACCCGCUCGCAGCGUACGCUAGCUUCGCGGGCGGUUUCUUCGACUUUUUGCACUUUAAAAGUUGUUUACGAUUGCUCCGGCUGGAAUCGAUGAGAUACUGUUUCAAAGAACGGUUCUUUUAAUAAAACGGAGGUCGUUAACUUUAAUAACACGACAGCCUUCUUUAUGGCACGUCUUAACGAUUCGCGCGAAAUCUUCUUAGUCGUUGGUGUACUACACGUAGAAGCAGAAUUAACAAGAUUAAUAUACUGGAAUUCGAAAGUGCAAUGGGAAAUUAUUUGGCUAAUUAAAAAAAUAUGUAAUUGAUUUAUGAUAUCGUAAAGGAGUUAAGUUUCAAAAUUUGUUGUCUCAAUUCCUAGUGAAGAGAUCAUGUUUUUGUGAGUAGGACGAGGAAAGGUUAACAGGACUCGAGGAUAUUCCGUUUACAUUCUUCGUCGAAACUGGUUUCUCCCUCGUUCGAUCGUCAGGGAUGUUGUAUGGUCUUUUGGACCUUAGAAAGGUUGCAAAACGCGCGAGAAAAAUCGACGAAAUUAAUUCCUUUGGUUUGAAAUCAAAUUCUUUUAUCCGAAGGAAUUUUAAUGAAAAAAGGCAAUUCUAGAUAAUUAUAAUCUAGAUUUCAUUUUACAAUAAUAUUCGUAAGCAAUUGUAUUAUUAAAUAUUCAAGAACUAUAGUUCUUAUGAAUUUAAUCGGUGUCAUUGAUAUCACUAACUCAACUUACAUCCUAUUAAGAUAUAAAAACCAUGAACUUUCCUGUUUUAAAAUGCAACAUAUUAACCGUACAGCGACAUAACGUAAAAAAACUGCGUGCCAAUGACGAAUCGCGCUUUAUUAAAUUUGCAUUCGAACAAAAUAUAAAGAAACCAAGAUUUUCCUCCUCUGCGAUGUGAUACGCGAACAGUACGAAUGUAAAAAGGCAAAAGCGCAAUAUCAUCGAUGAGUUGCACCUGAGCAAUCUCAUCUCCAUCAAACGUCGCAAACGGACGUGGUAAAAAAGACACAGUACUAACGUCCAUUCGAUUAAGAUACGACGGAAGCGUAACUCGAACGCGGAGGAAGUUGAAGCGAGGCAAGGAAGGAGAAAGAGAAAAAAGAAUGGAAAAAAAGAAAGAAAGAAAGAAAGAAGUAAAAAAAGGAGUGUCGGUUCGAUGCAAGCCAGAAGAAAGCAACGGCGGUGCAGCUGUUUCGCUGUUGGUCCGGUUGCACAAUGCAAAAUUCGGGUUCUAAUUCUAAAGCGAGUACCAAUCAGCCCGGGCAUUGUUCACCCAUGAAAGCUCGCAAUUUUUCAGGGUUAAUCGUUCCUUGAAACCUAAUAAGCGACGAGCUAACGCCGUUGGAUGUCGUUUUCUUAGGAGAAAAAAAAACACAUGCCCGUUCAGGAGUGGACACACGUCCCCCGAAAAAAUCACCGAGGGGAUGCCGAGAGAACGUUCGAAAAGUUUGACGCUCGAACACGCCUCGAAUACGUCACGAUCGGGACCGGUUAACAGUCGAGGUAAUUGGCCAUUGUAAAUUCGCUGUGUGUCGCCAAAGAGUACCGUGCAAGUGCAGCAAUAUAGAUAUUUUAACUCGUUCGAGUAAUCUGACUUUCAAUGGAUAGCUAAUAAGAAAUGUGGAAGAAAAUCAAUUAAGAAAGUGCGUCAAUGUAAAUAGGAUAGGUAAUCGAUAGAAAUCGCCUUGUGAUUCCUCGUUCGAUGUUCAAGAAAGUUUGUAACGCGAAUACCAAUAGAGAAUCUAAAGUACAGAAAAGUAUAAACCAUGUUACGCGUUAUACGAUCGAACCGUUUGAAGAUAGGAUACCGCAGUUAAGAUACCAAGACAAAAGAGUAAUGGAGUUAGAAUUUCGCUUUGGAAGCUUCGCGUGAUUUCUCCUAUUCUGAAAUUAACAAUUGGAAUAGCGAAAUUAAAACUCCUAUCGAAAAUCAAUAAGAUUCGAAUAAUUAACUAGGUGAGCGUCACGAGUCUUAAAAAAUUAUUUUGCAUAUUUUAUACUGGCAAUUUUUGAAAGUAAAUUAGAUUCGUUACAAGUGAUAUUUAUGUAGUCGAUAUAUCUUACGUCACGAUGAACCUCCAAUUAUACUACAUAAACUGCAGAGAUAAAUUGUUUCUUUGGAAUUACGAUUCACAUAUACGUUCCUAAUUUCAUAGAAUAUUCAAAUGUAAGAAACUACGUCGUAAAUUCGUAUCGUGUAUUACGUUUCUUGAAAUAAAAAGAUUCUCGUAAGUAACCGUCCACGUUUAAAAUUCCACGUCUUAAACCAUUCUCAACAAAUUUCCGAUAAUGAUCCACGUUACCACUUUCUUCGUUCUAUACGAAGAAUUCUCGGAACUCAGCCAGUCGCUUGGACGCCUAUGAACUUCAGCAGCCGGUCCAAAAGCGUGAUGCAUCCAAAGCGAUCCAUCAAAUCGGUCGACACGUUUGGUCUUGGGUGCACUGAAUCGGUCACACCGUGGCGAUUGCAUAUGCACUUACAUCCCGCUAUAAAUAAUGCUCGUUGACGGGGAACGAGAGGAAGGAUGACCAAUCAGGUAUGGGUGGAAGGGAUUCACCGAAGCAAGUUGCCAGAAAGACGGAGAGAGAACAGUCAAGGACAACUUACGUGACCACCGCAUUGCGACGGACGAAUCAACAACGAUCCUAAAAUUCUCCUAUUUUCUCUGCCGUCAGAGACGAACUGUCCGUUCAUAGACGAUAGUAUAAAUAGUUCGUUCACCCAAUACGUUUGAGAGCGAUCCAAAGCUUGUAAAUUCGCGGAAGAAGAAGAACAACACGCCGGCCGAUUCUCGAGACACCGGAAGAGAAGCUACGGGACACGACGUGUGAAAUAGAAAAGAGCGUUUGGUAUGUCAGGACGCUUAUCAAAGCGAACGAGGAAACGUCAAUAAAAGCGUUCUCGAGUCAAUUCCUGUCGAGUUAUGGCCGAUUUAGCGUGUUGCCUGUGUGACGGAUGCUCUCUGCGCUUCUUCUUGCAUCGCUGUUGCUUUUCGCUGUCAUGUUUGUAUUCCGUUUGAAGUAGACAGAUCUACACCUGUUUUGAGACAGACGUGGGAUAGACGUUGCGUUAUAAAUCUUGCGAGUCGACUACCUUUGGCGCCGCAUAUUUUACAACGAUUAAAUAUCUAUGCGAAGAUUGUCGGAUAACGUGGUAUCCUGGUGCGAGGAUAUCGGUAAUAAUUUUAUUUAAACGUGAUAUUCUUAAGCAAUGGACAUCUUCGUAAAGAUCGAAUAAAAUAAUAACACCUCGCUCUAAGCAGGCGCGGAAAGUGGACGAUGAAGAUUCUUCGAUUAAACGCGGACUUGGACAACCGAGGCAAAAAAUGAACGAGCAAGCAGCAACAUGGAACAAAGUUCUUGCAACUGGACAAGAAAUACCCAAGGUACAAAAAGAUCCACACAGAUGCGUCGAAAAGAAACUCAGAAAUCGCUAUCACGCCCGAGGAUCAGACGAUCAAGACACAUCCAUGUCAAUUAUCUCAGCUGAGAAAACGCACUCUUGGACACCGUGAAACCUGCGUACUGAACUACGCUAUACAGACGACACCUAUAAUCUAGUCGUAUACUCGAGCUUCAUAAGCGCGAUUAAAGCCCCAUCAAAAUCAACUCAAAAACGCGCGAUUAUCAAAAGAUACAAG